rnacentral:ribozyme from 14 species
CGAACAGCAAGAAAAAACAAAGAAACGAAUUAAAAAAGAACCAAGAAGAUUCGUAGUCGUGUUUUUGUUUUUGUUCCGUGAUUCGUUCAUUAUUUAUGUUGAUGUCUCUGGAUCAUUCACUCCCUGUACCUUUUUCCGUAAUCGUGCGA